AAGCUCAAGAGCAAAGGGGAGCUAAAUCCGAUAAAGGGAAGGAAAAAGUAGUUGAAUAGCCGUCGAAAUCGCUCGACAACAUCCGAGCUUAUACACUUGUGAAAAUUCCAGCAAUGAGGUUUCGCUCGUUAGCUAUCGG